rnacentral:lncRNA from 1 species
UUAGUGAUGAAAAGUCAGCUGAAUAAACCCUUUCCUUGCCAACUUGCUUUUUUGGCCAUGGUGUUUUGUCACAGCAGUAGAAACACUAAGACACGUGGGAAGAGAGCAGACCUGUGAGCAGGGUUGAGGUCUGCAACUGCCUUGGUGUUGGCUUAAUUUUGAGGGUUUUCUUUACUCUUUAUUGAAGAAUUCACACCUUUUGUUGCAUGAGGAAGAAGAAAGAGUACAUGUUCUGUACAUUCUGUUAAUUGCUUGAAACCACUCUGCUUCAGAGUAAUUGAGACCUUUUGGUGCAAAGCUGGCUUGUGUAGUCUGUAAGGCCAAUUAAAUAACUGUUGUCACUGUGGGUUGUGGCCAUUACUUUGCAGCCUCAGCCCUCUGAUAAAGGCAUUAUGGAAGAAGUGAACAAGCACAAGGCACAGGAAGAUAGUGUUGUUGAGGGUAUCACACGAGGAAUUUUUCCUUUCUUUUGCCAGAUGUUGAAAUUAAAUUAGAUGAAGAUGGAUUUGUAUUGCCAUUUACAGUGGAUGAGGAUGUCCAUACAAGGGUGGCCCUGUGUAUUGAUGGCCCACAGCGAUUUUGCUUGGGCAGUAAACACUUACUUGGAAAAGAGGCCAUUAAACAAAGACACCUGCGGUUACUUGGUUACCAGGUUGUUCAGGUUCCCUAUCAUGAGCUGGAGCUGCUUACAUCAAGACUUGAGUUGGUGGACUAUUUACAAAGAAAGCUCUUUUCUCAAAGCUCCACAGUCCACUGGUAACAGAGGAAACUGGCUUCAGGAUUCACAGUGAAAAAAGAUUUUAUUUGUAAGAGAGUUUAAUUUGUGAAUUAGCCACUAUAUGGAAAUUAUGUUUACAGACUUGGGAUCUGAAAAGGGUCUGUGUCUUUUCUUAUACCAUGUAUAUGUGUAUUGGUGGUAAAUUUGAAAUUAAUUUAAUGGCGUCUUAGAUGCCUUCACUGCAGAGCAGGAUCAUUCAAAUGCAAUAAAAUAAUGUAACAAGUAAA